rnacentral:lncRNA from 1 species
CAGCAUGUUUGAUUGUUAGGAGUGUACUGAUAUAAGUAGGAAACGCGACAUCCAGGCAACUUUGAGAAAACCAAUUUUAUCUCGGUGUUGUGCCUGUUGUUCACUCGCGUAUUUCCGACAUCACAACUAGGAAAUAGGAAGGUCUAACGAACAUGUGAAUGCAGCAAUAAUGACAAGAUGCUUGUGUCUCCGCCCUAACAAUGGGAUUUGUUUGUCCACAUAGCAGAACGGAGGGCUGUCAAACUCCUGCCUAUUCUGCUCUUUGGAUUGAAAAGUCGCCCAGCUCACCCCCAACCCACAGCUCUUCAUCCAGGAGGUAGACCAACCCAAGCCACAGGCUCCAGCAGCCUUCAAGGCUCCAGCCCCCAUCCCAGGCCACGCCCCUACCCUUCUCUCCACCAAUGCCAGGCCUGCCCAUCUCAUCACUGACAGUGGCUAGCCAAUCAAGUUUACUCAGCUGGUGCACUUGUCAGGCAGACUCCUUUCCUGGUUCCACCCCCUCCAGACCAGAGACACUCCUUCAAGGACAGUAUUGGUUCCUUCAGGUUCCACAUACAGUACAUUUGUCACCAGAGCCUGUUGUGUACUGCACAAGUAUGUGUGGAUGGUCCAAAUACUGUACAGCUAUUCCCUCUAAGCCAGAUCCUAGUUAUCUUGUGUGUCUGAUAAGGCUGGCACAAUUACCGUAAAACCAUGUAACCAACAGUUAUAUAAAAUAACCGACAUAACCAGUUUGUGGAACAAACAGAAGACUGAAGACGGAACGGCCGGGCAUUCGUGCGGUUGAGUCCGUUUCUGGAGUGACAUGGACACUACAACCUGAUGAAUCUUUGUUGCUCCUUGCUGAAACAAGCAGGGUGUUGUAGCAAGGAGGAGGAUGACAUCAAUGAUGUUGACUCCAUGGAUAGGCUCAACCUGAGUGAGGAGAACGCCCUUAUCCUAACAACCAACUCUGGGCAGGUGGACUCUGUAGAGCGGUCCUGUCGGGGUCGAACCCUUCCUGUCCUCAGCCCCGCUGCUCACACACAUCAUCCACACCGCUGCAACACAGAGAAGCCAACCUCACUGCCCUGGUUGCCAUUGGACCUCGCAGGACGGGACCACUUGACUCCCCUGGAAACCAGGUGUGGCCAGCAGACAGUAUGUCAGUACUACAGAGGGCUGGGGUUCAGAGGAUGACUUGGGUCUCUCUGCCUGGAACAGGACCCUCCUCUACGACACUCUCAAGUCCCUGCUUUAGUGAGAACAGUGUGAUUAAACAGCAUAAUACAAUCCAUCUCUCUU